UAAUAUAAUAUUACGAGUCUUUAUACGUUCCACUUUGACUUUUUAGCUGCAUCUUCAAAUACUCGUAGAAUACUCUGUCUUCGCUUUCAACCCUUUUAGUGUGAUUCAUAUUUCUGCAGGCUUUAAUGCCUUUAAUUAUUUUUUUAAGAAAAAUUAGUUGUCACUUCUCGGGUUUUAUGGGGCACUUUGUCAGCUCAAAGAACGCCUGCCGCAGUGGCGAAAUUUCAUAAAAAAAAUCAUUCAUUAUUGGGGACACACGCUUCGGCCAAAAAAAGAGCUCAAUUUCAUCGCUCUUAUCAAGUUGCAAUUGCUUUGAUUUCGAGGUUUUUUUCUGAAGCCUGAUUUAUGCAUAUUUGGCUUGAUUCGAUUAUGGAUUGAGAAGCCAUGGCCAUGGAGAAACUGAAGUUUGGACUGAGUUUAUCUCAGCCACUAGAAAAUAUUGAGAAAAUGCGGCGUCAUUUAGUUUGGGGUGGAUUCUCGAUUAUUAUUGUUCUUAUUCCUCCAGCGAGGCGCAAUUGAAAGUUGAGACGCAGUUCGAUUGGGGAUGGGAUGGAGAUAAUACAAGUGAAGAGGUGUGGGAAAUUUCCUUGGAAGUCGGAGAUAAACUUUGAUAAAAUCCCAAAGCUGAAGGGAGCUCAAUGAAAGUGCGAGUCAGCACUUCUUCUUUUUUUUAUAUAUAUCUUUUUUCUAUAUACAAUAACAGUAAUAAUGAAUCAGGUUUCGCUUCAAAAUUAUAUUGCUAUUUCAUUACAAUUAUGAGGCAAUAAUUUUUAGCCAAGUGAAAUAUGAAGACAUUAUUCAUUCACAGCAUAUUUAGGUGUUUAUUGUAAUAUUUCCGGGCGAGCGGAAACCCCGAAGAAAAAUGAAAGAAAAUCGGUGCUUCCUUUGUGUGACCAAAUAAAAAAAGAAAGAAAACCCGGCAUCGACUCUCCCCUUCCAUUUAUUUGCUUUCCAGUUCGAGUUACCAUAUUUGAACAUGCCGCGCAUAAAUCACCAGCGACCAUAUCAUAUAUAUACAGAUACAGAUAGGUUGGGAAGACCAUAAAUUCCCUGAUCACUUGUGACAGGCGUUAUAAAACGUAAUGCUGCGACUUAAACAAUCACACUCAUGCUAAACAGAUAUUAGCCAUACAAACUAAUGCUUGGUAUUAGAAAAUCAAUUUGACUUUGCGGCUAAUUGAGUGUGGCGUACUUUGACAGCGAUUUUCGCCCCGUGUCGAACCCAAUUUAUACGAUUUUUUGUGCCCCGCGCUAUUGACAUUUAAUUUGAGUUAAUGGCACAGCGAACAACGCUAGUAUUAUCAAAAGUGUUGAUUGGCCAGCUUUGGGUGCGAUGAUAACCUUGUCGCACCUCCCCCAAGCCCACUAGCCCCCAGUCGCCACCUUCCACCCACCGACCAUCGCAAUCAGUUGUUAAAUGUGUCAACAAUUUGUCGUCAACUAGUCGAAGUCACUAAAAAGUCGACAAAUUGAGAACUGCAGAAUGCGAAUGUUUGCUUAUGCAACUUCGCUUUCGAACGAAACAAACACUCCAAACAUGGAAACCUAAUUAAUUGAGCUGGCUGAGAACAUUUCUAAGAUUUUAGAACACUGGCGUGCAAAUAAAUGUAGUUUUUCCUGUGUAUUUCCCAACCAUUUAAAUGCUAAGGCAAUCAAAAUGUAAAGGGAAAUGCAUUCAGAAACGUAUUUACAUAUUUACGAGAAAUAGUUCUAUGUUUUAGAUCACAUUUUAAAUGGAUUUCAAAACCAAUUAUCUGUAUAACCUAUCAUAUUCGAUCGACCAAGUCUGUAAGUCAGUCAAGUCUUUGUGAUCUUAACCCUCGUAUGCAAAAAGCACUCGAGCGGAAUGCUGAAACCGUAAAACGUUUAACGGAAAAAGGUGCGGUUAAGGUAAGCUUUUCGAGUGUUUUUUUUUUUUUUACUUUUUGUUUCGAUGGACAAAAAGUGCGUAACGAGUGACGCAGACAAUGGAAAAGUGACGAAUGCGGGCGGAGGCGAAUAUUUGGUACAAUAAAUAGGAGGGAGUUUUUGGGGAUUUGCUAGUCCCAAUUUCGUGCGUGAGCAUUACAAUGAAGACGAUACAGCGAUGAAGAACGGAGGCUUCACUUUUGCACAUGCUCAAAAUGCUAAAUGCAUAACGGUAAUCCAAAAAUAAGUGGGCCAAAACGGAAGAAGCUGAGAAACAGAUGUAUGCAAUGGGGCACAUACGCGAUUGGAAAUUCCUCUGCAGAAGGAAAAUCUUAGUUUUUUACCUUUUUGUUUAUAGCUCAUUUGGCAUUCCGAAAUAUUUGCAUCGCGCCACAAUUACAAAUAUAUUUAUUUGCAAAAACACACACUCGAAAAAAAAUCAAGCAGUACACAUACGCGCGAAUUUUUUGGAGAUUUGCUUUGAAUUCUUACGCGCUCAGCAACAACAACAA
rnacentral:sRNA from 1 species